AUAAAAUAAAAUAAAAAUCAUGCUAUAAACUUCGUGAUGAGGUAGCCGCCUGUCCUUUGCUUGAGCUCAACAUAUUCCUUGAUUCAAAGUCCAAAGUCUAAUCUCCUGAAAAUUAAUAAGAAACUUUGCCUAAAAGACACAUUUUGUUAGAUGUUUGUAGAAACUUUAUAUAAUGCCGUGGCCAUAUUGUCAUAGUUUCUUGUUUUUUCGAUGUCGACCUGGUCCUAUCCGGCUAUCGGUUACUUGACGGUCAAGGAUGCUGUAUUAUUCCCAAAAUAAUUUGUGAUUUUAAAACUAAUCUUGUUAUCUUGACCAAAUCUACCAUUGUUUAAUUGACUAUUCUGUCCCAAGAGUUAGCAAAUUAUAGAUUUUAUUUUUAUUAUAUUAAAACGCAAAAAAAGAAAAAAAAAAUCUCUCUGAAGAGUUUUUUAAGACCAAUGAGACUCUGAACUUUAUAUAUAUAUAUAUAUAUAUAUAUAUAUAUAUAUAUAUAUAUUGCCCUUUCUGUGUGCAAAUGAGACUCUGAACUUUAUACUAGUUGUGUAAAACAAAAUAUGGAUUAGGUGUGUGAUACCAAUCAGGCCUUUGAUUGCAUUCCAUAUGGACCAACCACCUUUUGCCCAAUUGCACAAUUUUAAAUGCAAAUAAAAGUACGUUUAGUAUGAUUUUUUUUUAACAUACGUUUAAUUGAUUUAAAUAGGCAAAUUACUUAAUCUAUAAAUCGAUACACAUCAAGCAAGUUGAAUGAAGUUUUGAUUACGUACACGCCAGAUCAUGAAUUAGUAACUGCAUCAAAUCUAUAUAUAUAAAUCCAAUUGUUUCGAAUUUUCUAUUUUUGGAAUGAAAUAUUUAACAACUUUCAUGAAUAAUAUCAAAUCUCAUUUCAUAGUAUUUCACACAUCAUGAUCACCAUCUCUUACUUAUUUAUUUCACUCAAAUCCAAUUAUUGCGUGCAAUUAUUCUCAACAAAUUCAUUUGUUAGUUGUUCACUUUCUAUUCUUUUCGCACAAGUUGAUAAUUUUUUAAAGAAAAUAUGAGUGAACAAAGUCUAAAUUGCAUAUAUUUAAUGAUUUCAAUCCUCUUACCCCUUACUAUUUAAACGCACGUGGCCAAUCAAAGAACGAGAAAGGGAAACCACUCGGCGGAGCCCUUACUAGUAAGUUAAAAAUACGACUUUAUUUUUCAUAAUUAGAGAAAAUAUUUUAAUAUAUUUUAAAAAAUUAGGAAUAUUUUCAUGAAUUUCAUUUUUUAUUUUACCGUGUGUAAAUUACAUUCACCAAACGACGAUGAAAAACCGAAGUGAACUAUACUAUACAGACGCGGUCUAUUCCCUUAACAAACCCAGAGCUAAAAGAAUUCUGAUUGUUGGGGUCAAAACAGAUAAAACCGGGGGCUAGUUAAUGUUCCCUAGAAAAUGCAAUAACAUAGAGGCACGACUGCCCAAGCUGAAGAAACAAAAGAGGCCUCUUCCAGCCCAUGAAAGGCCCAUCAGCAAUGCUAUUGGGGCGGUCCUAAGUCCAACCAUCUGAGUCUGAUUUUUUAUUUUUUAUUCCUAAAAUAGAUUGAAAUUUUGAAUCUGUCCACGUAAUUGACAAAAAUAUUAUAAGGUUCCGCCUAAGUUACAUUACGUUACGGUCAGCAUCUAAAAUUUCAUUGAGCCCCCUAUACUCUAUAUUAUUUGUAAUUUAUUCAUAAGUAUUAUGAAACUUUCUGAAUUAUAAAAUUUCGUUUAAUCCCAUACACUGAAUUUUAUUUUAUUGAAAUCCCAAAGUACGAAUUCGCCCCCUAUAAUUUUAAAUUUCCAAAAUGACCUCUAUUUA
rnacentral:lncRNA from 1 species